GACGAACGCUGGCGGCGUGCCUAAUACAUGCAAGUUGAGCGCUGAAGGUUGGUACUUGUACCGACUGGAUGAGCAGCGAACGGGUGAGUAACGCGUGGGGAAUCUGCCUUUGAGCGGGGGACAACAUUUGGAAACGAAUGCUAAUACCGCAUAAAAACUUUAAACACAAGUUUUAAGUUUGAAAGGUGCAAUUGCAUCACUCAAAGAUGAUCCCGCGUUGUAUUAGCUAGUUGGUGAGGUAAAGGCUCACCAAGGCGAUGAUACAUAGCCGACCUGAGAGGGUGAUCGGCCACAUUGGGACUGAGACACGGCCCAAACUCCUACGGGAGGCAGCAGUAGGGAAUCUUCGGCAAUGGACGAAAGUCUGACCGAGCAACGCCGCGUGAGUGAAGAAGGUUUUCGGAUCGUAAAACUCUGUUGGUAGAGAAGAACGUUGGUGAGAGUGGAAAGCUCAUCAAGUGACGGUAACUACCCAGAAAGGGACGGCUAACUACGUG
rnacentral:rRNA from 1 species